GAUGAACGCUAGCGGGAGGCCUAACACAUGCAAGCCGAGCGGUAUUUAUUCUUCGGAAUAGAGAGAGCGGCGUACGGGUGCGGAACACGUGCGCAACCUGCCUUUAUCAGGGGGAUAGCCUUUCGAAAGGAGGAUUAAUACCCCAUAAUAUAUUGAUUGGCAUCAAUUGAUAUUGAAAACUCCGGUGGAUAAAGAUGGGCACGCGCAAGAUUAGAUAGUUGGUGAGGUAACGGCUCACCAAGUCGAUGAUCUGUAGGCGGACUGAGAGAGUGAUCGCACACACUAGUGCUGAGAAACAGACCAAGAUCCGACGGGAGGGAGCAGUGAGGUAUAUUGGAAGAUGGGUAAGAGCCUGUUCCAGCCACCCCGCUUAAAGGACGACGGUGCUAUGGGUUGUAAACUUCUUGUAUAUAGGGAUAAACCUACUUACGUGUAAGUAGCGGGAAGUACUAUAUGAAUAAGCACCGGCUAACUACGUGCCAGCCGCCGCCGUAA
rnacentral:rRNA from 1 species